CUUCAACAAUAAUAAAUCAAACAAUAAAAAGAGAUAUACCAAAAGAGACACAAAUAUUUAACGUAGUUCGGUCAACUGACCUAUAUCCACGACGGAGAUGAGCAACCCACUAUAUAAAAAGAGAGUACAAAAUAUCGAGAGAACAACCUCACGAAGAGGCAAAUACAAGUGACACACUAACACUUGUCCCGUAGAGUUCUCCCCCUAAACACGACUCUCAAACCCAUAUGGCUACAUUGUGGAUGCUACUGAAUGAGAAGAAAGAAUCCUCAAUUUAUAGAAGUCCAAACCUUUUCCUACAAGAAAAAGGACUAGCCAAGUAUAGUAGAAUUAUAAUUUCCUUUUACAAAAAGGAAAACCCAAUUAAGGUAAUUAUAUUGCCCUUUCCUUCAAGAGAUAGGAAAAUCAAAUAUGGUAAGAAAAUUAUGGCAAACACCUAACAAUUCUCCCCCUUGGCCGGAAUUUUCUGACAAAAUAAACUUGAUCCACCUUCUUCAAAUAGCCUUCAACAGGUCGCAUCUCCAAAUCUCUACCAAAACGUUUGUCUCAACGCGAGUAGUAUCCCGAUCAAAUUUCUCAAACAAAUAUUACGAUUAUCGUCAAAUAUGUUGCGGCUAGAACUGAACCCGGCAAGAUGAACCUGUCUUGAACCUCGCUCUUAUACCACUUGUUAGGACCGAAAAAAUCAGCUGUCAUGCGGAAGCUAGCAAAGAAUGUCUUCAACGACGAUAAAUCAGACAACAAAGAGAGAUAUGCCAAAAGAGAGACAAACAUUUAAUGUGGUUCGGUCAACUGACCUAAUCCACAAUGGAGAUGAGCAAUCCACUAUAUAAAAAGAGAGUACAAAAUAUCGAGAGAACAACCUCACGAAGAGGCAAAUACAAGUGACACACUAACACUUGUCCCGUAAAGUUCUCCCCCUAAACAUGAUUCUCAAACCCCUAUGGCUACAUUGUGGAUGCUACUGAAUGAGAAGGAAUGAUCCUCAAUUUAUAGAAAUCCAAAUCUUUUCCUACAAGAAAAAUGACUAGCCAAGUAUAUGAGAAUUAUAAUUUCCUUCUACAAAAAAGAAAACUCAAUUAAGGUAAUUAUAUUGUCCUUUCCUUUGAGAGAUAGGAAAAUCAAAUAUGGUAAGAAAAUUAUGGCAAACAGAGAUAUUCUUUUACAUCCAAAUGAACUGUAUUAUAGGCACUAGAAUCGCAAAACAUUACACAGUGCAAAAACUUGGAAAAUAAAGAGUAACUAACUAGUACGAACAUGAAACUAAAUGAAGCGUGAAAUCUAGGAACAUUACGUGAGUGCAAAACAGGAACGGACAGAUCUAUUAUGCAAAAAAGGAAAUAGUGCAUGAACAGAUGAAGAUCUACGUACUACCAUGAUCAAGGUUAUCUUAGCUUCCUUGGGGAGCCAUGGAUAAACCAUCCGAGCGACGUUGCGGAGCAGCAGUUGCAGGUUCUCCAGAUAAGGCUUUUCUCACAUCUUCAACAACAAUGUAAAUCUGAAGGAGGGUGACGCUACCGAGAAAGAUAGCCAAAAAGAAGGCAAACACAAUAACCCCAGUUGAUACAUGGUCGGUCGUGGAGUUUUUGUGUAAAUAAUGCCUUACCAAAAAUGUUAUUGNNNNNNNNNNNNNNNNNNN
rnacentral:lncRNA from 1 species